rnacentral:tRNA from 1 species
GUGGCUCAGUGGUAGAGUGCUUGUCUUGGGUGCAUGAGGCCCUGGGUUCAAUUUCUCAGC